UACGAAGGGGGCUAGCGUUGUUCGGAAUCACUGGGCGUAAAGCGCACGUAGGCGGAUCUUUUAAGUCAGGGGUGAAAUCCCGAGGCUCAACCUCGGAACUGCCUUUGAUACGUGGGAUCUCGAGUCCGGGAGAGGUGAGUGGAACUGCGAGUGUAGAGGUGAAAUUCGUAGAUAUUCGCAAGAACACCAGUGGCGAAGGCGGCUCACUGGCCCGGAACUGACGCUGAGGUGCGAAAGCGUGGGGAGCAAACAGGG
rnacentral:rRNA from 1 species